GACGAACGCUGACGGCGUGCCUAAUACAUGCAAGUAGAACGCUGAAGGAGGAGCUUGCUCUUCUGGAUGAGUUGCGAACGGGUGAGUAACGCGUAGGUAACCUGCCUGGUAGUGGGGGAUAACUAUUGGAAACGAUAGCUAAUACCGCAUAAUAACAGUUGUUGCAUGACAACUGUUUGAAAGGUGCAAUUGCAUCACUACCAGAUGGACCUGCGUUGUAUUAGCUAGUUGGUGGGGUAACGGCUCACCAAGGCGACGAUACAUAGCCGACCUGGGAGGGUGAUCGGCCACACUGGGACUGAGACACGGCCCAGACUCCUACGGGAGGCAGCAGUAGGGAAUCUUCGGCAAUGGACGAAAGUCUGACCGAGCAACGCCGCGUGAGUGAAGAAGGUUUUCGGAUCGUAAAGCUCUGUUGUAAGAGAAGAACGAGUGUGAGAGUGGAAAGUUCACACUGUGACGGUAUCUUACCAGAAAGGGACGGCUAACUACGUG
rnacentral:rRNA from 1 species